rnacentral:lncRNA from 1 species
CUGUCUGUAGGAGUCAUGUGCUGUUUCUGGCUUGCCCACUGCAAGGCUGUUCCCAGCAGCAGUCCUGUGCUGUCCAUCUCCCUUGCCCCACCUUGGGACUGAGCUGCAGCCCUCAGCCUCUGGCCCGGAUCUAGAAUUCUUGCUUUGGUCUUUGCCAUGCCCAGGUGUCCCCCACAGCCUCCUGGGGAACAGGAUGAGACUGAAGGGCCAUGAUGCUUGCAUAGGAAACUCCUACCAGCUGAAGAUGUGGAGUGAUGUAAAGCAGGAGGAUGUAUGUUCCAGGAAACAAUUACCCUGGCUCUUUGCAGAGAAAAAAAGAAGAAAGGGAGUAAAAUCUAAAGCAUUAAUUCCACACCCCUCCACAUCUCCCCCAUCCUUCUUUCACAGAUUCAUUUCCGUGGCAGAGCUGGAGCUGAUUAAGGACCACUGGCCAGAGGGGAGCAGUGUCAGGGCCACCCAGCCUGGCACCAGGCAUCCUGCAUUCAAUGUGGCAAAAUGGAGGCACGUCUUCCUAGCAGUGAGCAGAAACCUCAGCAAAGAAGCAGUCUGGUUCUCAUGGCAACCAGGAUUUCCAUAUACUGCAGGGGUACACACAGUCUGACAUCACUUUGCUGCAGGGAGGAUUUCUGUGCAUACUCAAGGACUAAAUUAAGCCCUUUGUAAAUGAAGAAUGUGUGUCCAUUUUCCUGCAUGUAACUGUAUGGCUUUCCUCCUGUGAAAGGGAGAAGAAUAGGGAAAGAAAAGAAGAUGCAAAAUUAUAUUUCUCUAAGUCAAAAUAAAAAUAGCCCUGACACACCCA